rnacentral:rRNA from 1 species
CAGCUAGUUGGUGAGGUAAUGGCUCACCAAGGCAACGAUCGGUAGCCGGCCUGAGAGGGUGAUCGGCCACACCGGAACUGAGACACGGUCCGGACUCCUACGGGAGGCAGCAGUGGGGAAUCUUGCGCAAUGGGCGAAAGCCUGACGCAGCAACGCCGCGUGGAGGAUGAAGGCCCUUGGGUUGUAAACUCCUGUCGGCUGGGAAGAACUCGUACGAUGCUCAUACCAUCGUGCGUUGACUGUACCAGCAAAGGAAGCCCCGGCUAACUCUGUGCCAGCAGCCGCGGUAAUACAGAGGGGGCUAGCGUUAUUCGGAAUUAUUGGGCGUAAAGGGCGCGUAGGCGGCCUUGCGUGUCUUUCGUGAAAUCCCUCGGCUUAACUGAGGACGUGCGGAAGAAACUGCAGGGCUUGAGUCCGGGAGAGGGGGGUGGAAUUCCCAGUGUAGCGGUGAAAUGCGUAGAUAUUGGGAGGAACACCGGUGGCGAAGGCGGCCCCCUGGACCGGUACUGACGCUGAGGCGCGAAAGCGUGGGGAGCAAACGGGAUUAGAUACCCCGGUAGUCCACGCCGUAACGAUGGGCACUUGGUGUCGCGGGUAUCGACCCCUGCGGUGCCGAAGCUAACGCAUUAA